CCGAGCUCUCCCAUCAGGACCCAUAGAGGCCUGCAGCGGAAGUUGCCAGCCACGUCCAGCCUCACAUGCAACUAAGGUGCCCAGGAUCUUUUCUUCCUCAUGGUUUCAAUGUUCUGUACUAAUAAGAAUGAGGUAAGAUGAGACGAGUAUUUUAGUUUUGAUGGAGAGAUGGAAAUUCCUGCCUUCUCAGUUUUCAAGGACAAAGAUCAAAUGAUUACCUGUUUCCGACCUCCCAUCCAGAGAGCAAUCAGAGGGAAAGCUUGAAGGCGCUUUAG